CCUACGGGGUGCAGCAGUGGGGAAUAUUGGGCAAUGGGCGCAAGCCUGACCCAGCAACGCCGCGUGAAGGAAGAAGGCUUUCGGGUUGUAAACUUCUUUUAAGAGGGAAGAGCAGAAGACGGUACCUCUUGAAUAAGCCACGGCUAACUACGUGCCAGCAGCCGCGGUAAUACGUAGGUGGCAACCGUUGUCCGGAUUUACUGGGUGGAAAGGGCGGGAAGCCGGGAAGACAAGUCAGAUGUGAAAUCCCGCGGCUCAACCGCGGAACUGCAUUGGAAACUGUUUGUCUUGAGUACCGGAGAGGUCAGCGGAAUUCCUUGUGUAGCGGUGAAAUGCGUAGAUAUAAGGAGGAACACCAGUGGCGAAGGCGGAUGACUGGACGGCGACUGACGGUGAUGCUCGAAAGCGUGGGGAUCAAACAGGAUUAGAUACCAUAGUAGUC
rnacentral:rRNA from 1 species